rnacentral:pre_miRNA from 1 species
AGUGGGAUAGCUGGGUCAAAUGGUGAUUCCAUUGCAAGUUUUCCAAGGAAUCUCCACACUGCUUUCCAUAUUGGCAGCACCAAUUUGCAGUCCCACCAGCAAU